UGCCCAGACUCCUACGGGAGGCAGCAGUGGGGGAUAUUGCACAAUGGGGGAAACCCUGAUGCAGCGACGCCGCGUGAGUGAAGAAGUCUUUCGGUAUGUAAAGCUCUAUCAGCAGGGACGAAAAUGACGGUACCUGAGUAAGAAGCCCCGGCUAACUACGUGCCAGCAGCCGCGGUAAUACGUAGGGGGCAAGCGUUAUCCGGAUUUACUGGGUGUAAAGGGAGCGUAGACGGCAGCGCAAGUCUGGAGUGAAAUGCCGGGGCCCAACCCCGGAACUGCUCUGGAAACUGUGAAGCUGGAGUGCAGGAGAGGUAAGCGGAAUUCCUGGUGUAGCGGUGAAAUGCGUAGAUAUUAGGAGGAACACCAGUGGCGAAGGCGACUUUCUGGACUGUACCUGACGCUGAGGCGCGAAAGCGUGGGUAGCGAACGGGAUUAGAUACCCUGGUACG
rnacentral:rRNA from 1 species